CAGCCGCCGCGGUAAUACAGAGGUGGCGAGCGUUGUUCGGAUUUACUGGGCGUAAAGGGUGCGUAGGUGGUUGUGUAUGUCGAAUGUGAAAGCCCAUUGCUUAACGAUGGAAGGUCAUUCGAAACUACACGACUAGAGUACAGGAGAGGAGAGCGGAAUUCUUGGAGUAGCGGUGAAAUGCGUUGAUAUCAAGAAGAACACCGGUGGCGAAGGCGGCUCUCUGGAAUGAUACUGACACUGAGGCACGAAAGCUGGGGGAGCAAACAGGAUUAGAUACCCUGGUAGUCCCAGCCCUAAACGGUGUCAACUUGGUGUCGGCGGUAUUGACCCCGCCGGUGCCGGAGCUAACGCGUUAAGUUGACCGCCUGGGGAGUACGACCGCAAGGUUAAAACUCAAAGAAAUUGACGGGGGCCCGCACAAGCGGAGGAGCAUGUGGCUUAAUUCGAUGCAACGCGAAGAACCUUACCAGGGCUUGACAUGUAACUGCUCAUCCUGUGAAAACAGGACUCUUUCGAAGGUGUUACACAGGUGCUGCAUGGCUGUCGUCAGUUCGUGCCGUGAGGUGUUGGGUUAAGUCCCGCAACGAACGCAACCCCUUUGUUUAGUUGCUACUGGAUUUAUUCAGGCACUCUAGACAUACUGCCCGUACAAAGCGGGAGGAAGGUGGGGACGACGUCAAGUCAGUAUGGCCCUUACGCCCUGGGCUGCACACGUGCUACAAUGGUCGGUACAGAGGGAAGCAAUACCGCGAGGUGGAGCAAAUCCUAAAAACCGGCCCCAGUUCAGAUUGGAGUCUGCAACUCGACUCCAUGAAGUCGGAUUCGCUAGUAAUGCCGUAUCAGCUACGACGGCGUGAAUACGUUCCCGGGCCUUGUACACACCGCCCGUCACAUCAUGAAAGCCGUCUGCACCCGAAGUCGCUGAGCCAACCCGCAAGGGAGGCAGGUGCCGAAGGUGUGGGUGGUGAUUGGGAUGAAGUCGUAACAAGGUAACCGUA
rnacentral:rRNA from 1 species